UGGCCGUUACACACUUAGGUCCGCGUAUCUGUGUGUUUCUAAGUGAUUGUUAGUGUGAUACUGUUAGUGUGUGUGUGUGUGUGUAUGUGAGUCACUAUUGCAAUGUUAUGGAGGAGGGGAAAUCCCCGGUCUUCUGACACACUGUCACGAGGACUACAAAACGUAAAAAUAUCUGUGCAUUGACCCUUCGUAGUCCCUGGCAGUGGUCAGUUGUUGUUGUGCUGAGCUAGCACGUCAUUAGGUCAAACAAACAAACAAACAUGGAUAACCAGUUCAACCCUGUCCCAAGUUAUCAGCCACCUCCACCUGCUUAUCCCACAGGUCAAGUAUUUCCUCCAGUACCCAGUUUCCCUUCAGCACCAGCUGUAAGUCUGAGUUCAUUUGUAGUGGUUAUUGACUAUAAAAUAUAGUAAUGAAGAGUAUUGGACAGUGAUUAUUCAGUAUGAACAAAGGGGAAUAGGUGUAGCUUAACUGCCCUCCUACUCUCCUACUCAAUCAAGCACAGGAAAUAUGGAUUUGUGUGUUUUGGUAUUAUUUGUUAUUUCUAAUUUUGAUAAGUCAAUGUAGCACCUCACCCAUCACCAUACUACCUCGGAAACUUCCCACUAUUUGUUUAGGCUGACUGCAGGCUGCUCUUAAGCAUCGGCAAACUAGGCAGCCACUAAGGGCCACCAAUUGGUAUGGGUUAGGGUUAGGAUUUUAAAACAUCACUUUGGGAUAAUCAGAACUAAGAAGAUACACAAUCUUUUU
rnacentral:sRNA from 1 species